UACGUAGGGUGCGAGCGUUGUCCGGAAUUACUGGGCGUAAAGAGCUCGUAGGUGGUUUGUCGCGUUGUUCGUGAAAACCGGAGGCUUAACCUUCGGCGUGCGGGCGAUACGGGCAGACUGGAGUACUGCAGGGGAGAAUGGAAUUCCUGGUGUAGCGGUGAAAUGCGCAGAUAUCAGGAGGAACACCGGUGGCGAAGGCGGUUCUCUGGGCAUUACCUGACGCUGAGGAGCGAAAGUGUGGGGAGCGAACAGG
rnacentral:rRNA from 1 species